rnacentral:lncRNA from 1 species
CUCGAGCCUAGCCACCGGAUACUUGGGCCUGAAUCGCCGCUAGAAGCACAUAUUCGGGUAGGGCGGAACGAAGUCCGCGCCGUCGCUGUGGAUCCCACGCACCGGGUGUCUUGCGAGGAAAGGUUUCGCCGGGGGGUUCGCCUGAGCUGGGCGAGAUUCGUUGGCCUUCACGUGGCACCAGGCGCAUAGCAGAAGGCGUGCCCGGACGACUGAGUGACCUGGGAGGGCGAGAUUUCUCGCCGGGGUUGGAUUUCCGCCGUGCGGUCGCUGCGCGACGCGGGCAGCUCCACCAACGCACCGACCUUGGGUAAGUGCUCCUCCAGCUGACUCCCUUUACCCCCCUGGAACCUGUAGGACCUUGCGGUAGUGUGUGACCGUCGUGUGCUCGGCAAUUUCUCGCCGGGAAGUAUUCCUGCCGUGUAGUCGCCGUGUACCGUGGACCACUUCGCCAGCACGGCCAUCUCCGGUGAGUUCUGGGGCGUUGAUCUUUGCGGCAACGGCCCAGAUCGACCGGAGGAUAGUUGCCUCAGUGUUUUAUUAGGGCCGCUCGAUUUGGAUCCAAUGGCGGUGAUCAGAUCACGGUAUUGGUGAUGGUGGACCAUGGAUCUCCGAUCCAACCGCUCAGGUCGCGUACCGGUUCAGCAAGCAGUUCAUUUAGUCGUGUACGUUGACGUUAGAUCCGACGGUCCUGGGCGGCCAAUACCUCUUCGCGCUGAGCAUGUUACUUAAGAACCUCUCCGCUUCUAGGAAUUCAACCCGUGGUCCAGCCUUAAUGUGUUCUAAGUCUUGGGAAGUUUUACACCAGAGUCCCUGCGCUUUCCAAAUUGUGUGCGCGCAGUCCAGACACUUGAUAAAUCAGGGAAAAUUAAUAUAGAAAAUGAUUUUGGUAUUAAAAUAAUUCCAGGAAGUUGUUAAAUUCAUAGAAAAUUUAUAUUAGCUCCUUUUUAAUCCAUUCCAGUUACUAUAAUUUUAUAAUAUUAUUUCUUAUCACAUAGUACCUCUGGUUUGACAAGAAAACUGUAUUAAAAUUAAUCUCUUAAUUAAUCUUAUAUCAAAUACAUAAAACCUUCAGAAAUUCAUAACUCACAAUCUAUAACUCCGAUUUGAUCCGUUCUAGUUGCGUUAGUCUCGUAUAAAUAUUUACUAUGCAAUAACAACAUUUAUUAUAUCAUGUCUUAUUAUUUUAUAAUUAAAUCUGUAUUUAACUCAUGUUGGUUAGUUUGGUUAAACUGCUUAUAAACUACUGGAAUAUGACCUAUGGUUAAUUUAUAACUUAGAUUAAAGUUGAAUUAAUUACUACUUUAGGUUAUCUUUUCUCUUGAUUUAUAAAAUAAACAUAAGACCUAGUUUUAAUUACUUAAUCACGUGGGUCUUUCGUAAACUAUACCUCUUAACCGUAACUUCGAUCUUAGUAAUUCGAACUCACGAUCUCGUAGCAACGCGUAGAUUAUUAUUAUUCAGUUUUUACUUAUGUUUGGUGUGAUGUUAAUUUUGUCUAUACCAUGUCUGUUUGUAUUGCUACGACUAGCAGUGAGGUCAUGAGGAUCUGAAGAAUCACCCUGGUAACUGGAAUCUCAAGUGCCAGGCAAGUUGUGCCCUUGACCACUUCUAUUACCCAAUAAUGUUCUUUAUUAUCACUUAUCAAUGCAUAUGUUUAAUUUUGAUGGGACCCAAUAGGUCACCCUAGUCUGUUUAUCAUGUUUACCUUGUUUACCCCUGAUUCACUUGGGUAGAUAUGCUAUUGCAUUAUGUGGUUUCGGGUUAAUAUUUCAUUAUAUCCAUGUUCCUAUUAUUCUGUUAUGUUAUUUAUGUUAAUGAUAAGAUCAUUAUGUUAAUGGGAACAUGGAGCGACCACCCGGGAAAACAAUGCUACCACAAGAGUUUAAUGGGACGCCCUUGUCUGAUUAACUAGGAAAGCUAGUGGAUGACUACCUUACCCGAAAGGGGCAAGGACAGUAGGGGAGUGUUCAGUGUAGGGAGGUCCUUAGGUUGAUUUUGCUGUAAUGGCGGUCAGGUGAGGGAUUCCUGCACUGGAGCUUCCUAUAAACUGUAACGGGUUUUCUGAAGCUAGUGGAACUUUGUAAAGGCCUCGUAGUGUUACCCUGCCUCGCUUCCUUGGUAGAGGUGUAUGGGAUUCAUGACCCCUUGGCAGAUGGGUAACACGGCUUGUGGGUAAAGAUGUGCAACCUCUGCAGAGUGUAAAACUGGUAUACUAGCCGUGCUCACAAUCAUGAGCAGCUCGGACCCUCACAUGAUUAAUCUAUGGAAUAAAAACUCAAUUGGUCAUUUGCAUUUGCAUGAGAUUAUUUAUUAAUUUUGUUCUAUUAUUUAUUAUGGUUUGGUAUUUACUUAUACUUAGUAAUUGCUAAUAAAAUUUUGACCAACUUAUAAAAGCAAUGCUCAGCUGCAACCUUUAUUUUAUUGAUCAGCCUUACACUUCACAUGAAUUCCACCUUUGGUGAGUUCAUGCCACAUUAUUCCCCACAACUUGUUGAGCUAUGAACGUAUGUGAGCUCACCCUUGUUAUCUCACACCCCCCACAGGAGAAGAACAGGUGGUUCAAGAGGAGCCAUAUAUCAAGGAGUUCGAUUCGGUCUAGGUGGCGUCUCCUAGUUGACUUUCUGGCGCCAAGGAUGGAUUUUAGAUCUUGUUAUAUUUAUCUUUUAUUUUGUAAGACUUCCGCUAUGUAAUAAAUACUCUAAUUAUUGUGACAUUUAUCUCUAUACACUCUGUUAUUAUAUAUGUUGUCUUCUUUGGCGCAUGUAUGAGAUGCACCCGGCUUUGUUCCUUAAAGCCCGGGGUGUUACAAAUAUCGAC